AGCGUGCGCAGGCGGUUUUGUAAGACUGUCGUGAAAUCCCCGGGCUCAACCUGGGAAUGGCGAUGGUGACUGCAAGGCUAGAGUUUGGCGAGAGGGGGGUAGAAUUCCACGUGUAGCAGUGAAAUGCGUAGAUAUGUGGAGGAACACCGAUGGCGAAGGCACGCCCCCUGGGUCAAAACUGACGCUCAUGCACGAAAGCGUGGGGAGCAAACAGGAUUAGAUACCCGUGU
rnacentral:rRNA from 1 species